UAGCUCAAUCGGUUGGAGCGUGGUGCUGAUAACACCAAGGCCACGGGUUCGAUCCCUU
rnacentral:tRNA from 1 species